CACGUAUAUUGAAGAAGUUGCAAAACGUUUGCUUCAUUACCAGAUGCUGGUCUGCCUGCCUUCAUUUAUCCAAAGACUGAACACCACAGCUGAAGCAGAUUCCAUUCUUCUGAUAGGUUUGACUGUAAAAUACAGCUAUGCAGAAGACAAAAGAGAAAUGUAACUUCCAUAUUUCUAUAGUGAUUGUAGCUUGACGGGAAAAACAUUUCUGCUAUCCUGAUGGCCCAUUCAGCAAAGAUACCACCCACUGCACUCUAAAAAUAAGAUACCAAGGAAUCAAAGACAAAUUCAUUUUCAAAAGUAACUUUCUAUCCAUGACUCAAGAGAUCACAGCUUCUGCACUGAGUGUAUUUGACAAGCUGAAUUCAGACACUCAAUUUAAAACAGUGUCAGUUUGUCAAAUACCCCAAGUGCAGAGCUGAAAAGCAGCUGAACAUUGUCCAGUACUGUGAGAGGCUUAAAGAAACAAGCAUACAACUGAUGAGACUCUAGUAUCUGCAUAUAUGUGUAUGUAUGUCUAUUUGUGUUUACAAAAUCCAGAGUGAAAUAAGUGCAGUUUGUGAACUGAAUGGUUAUUAUUCAGAUGCUACAGACUUUGUGUACCUAACACAAGAUGGCUAUUUUAAAAUGGAUAUUACAUUCUCAAAGCAUUAUAUUAAACUAAUGGACAACAUGUAAGAUAUCAUGACAUCACUAGCCACAUUAAGACUGCUAAAAUAAAAACUUUUAUUUCCAAAAACGAGUAAAUAAAAAGUAGUAUCUUAGGUGCUUAUCCAGCACUUAUUUGCUUGCAUGAACAGUAAAAGUAUUCCGAGUUUCUGGCACACAUUCAUUCUCAAUAACGAAACAAUUUUCACUCUUUCAUCUUUUCCAUAUAUCACUAACAUUUGACCAUUCCAUCACUGCCUCUCCAGGAGGCAAAUUCUGAACAAUGAGAUCAAUGCCUCUCCAUUGGCUGACAUAAAUGGACCAGGAAGACUAGCUGUUCUUGCUUGGAAAGGAGUAUGUGAUAAUGUUCAACAUAGUCAAUUGUUUAAGUUUCUGUUUUCAAUUAACAUUGUUAAUAUGGAGUCCAUGGGAAGUCAGCAAGUUAACAAAACAGAUUAACUCACCUUAAGCCAUUGACAAGAAAAAAGUUACAUUUUUGCUAUUGUUGCAUCCAACAGACUCUUGAAUGAUUCAAAACUUUUGCCUUCACUACACCACCUGAAAUUUAAUUGCAAGUAUAAGGUUUACCCUGAGAACGUGAUAGUGCCUGAUUCAGAUCAGUUUAAAGAAAACUCUCUGAUCGCUUGCAGUGUCAGAAUGUAUCCACUGUCUUUCAAACUAUUUCUCAGCACCUUCAGGACAGGAUGCAAGCAUUUAGGGGAAAAGCCUUUAUGUUUCAUCAGUAUGUGACACAUAGAUAAUGAAUGGACAACCAAUAGUGGCCCAGUCAAUGAUACGCACUUACCAUAAAAACAAAAUAUAAACAGGAAUAGACCACAGUAGUUCAUCAAACCUCUGAUUUUGGCUGAUAAUUGACUUAAAUCCAUUUUUACAUCCUCCCUUACAUUUGGAACAUAGGAGCUUAAUGGCUGGUCAUCCACAUCAAUGCUGUAUUCCCUCACUAUUUUCAUAUCCUUUGAUGUCAUUAGUAACUCUGACUUGAACUUAUUGAAUAAAUGAGCUUCCACAGCUCACUGGGCUGGAGAGUUCCAUUGAUUCACCAUCCUAUCCUCCUCUUUUCAGUCCUAAAUGACUUGUCUGUUAUUCUAGACUGUGUCCCCUGGUUUAGAGCCCACAGCCGGGGCAAUAUCCUUGCUGCAUCUACUCUGACUAACCUUUUUAAGAAUUUUGUAUGUUUCUAUUAGAUCGUCUGUCAUUCUUCAGAACUCCAGAGGAUAUAGGCCUAGUCUCCUCAAUCUCUCCUCAUUGGAUAGUCCCACCAUCCCAGGAAUCUGUCUGGUGAAUCUCUGCUGCUCCCUCUAUCUUUCCUUAGGCAAGGGGAUUAGAACUGCACACAUUACUCCAGUCUCACCAGUGAGCUAUACAAUUAAAGGAAAACUUCUUUGAUCGUAUACUCAAAUCAUCUUGUGAUAAAAGAUAACCUACCAAUUUUCCUUCCAAAUUCUUUGAUUAUUAGCUUUCAAUUAAUUAUGAACGAAGAUACCUAGGCCCUUUUGACAUCAACACUUUCCAAUCUCAUAAUCUCUGCAUCUCCAUUCCUCUUUCCUAAGUGGAUAACCUCACACUUUUAGCCAUUGCAUUCCACUGACCAUGCACUUGCCCACUCACAGCCUCAUUUCCUGAGAGUUCAAAUGUGUGCUAUUCUCAGCCUUCAAUGAAUUCAACAAUGGACCAUCCAUAAUCAUUGGGGGUAGAGAACACAAUUCACAAACCUCGGUCCAAAAUGACUGGUCCAUUCUCCUGAGACUGUGGCCAUGUGUUCUAGGUUUCUCGUCAGGGCAAACAAUGUCUCACCAUUGACUCUGUUAAAUCCCUCCAAAACCUUGCAUGUUUCAAUGAGAUCAUCCUUCAUUCUUCUAAGAUCCAGGUUACUAUAGGCACAAUUGACUCAGCCUAUCACCAUUGGAAAAACCCUCUCAUCAACAUAUCAAUCAAGUUAACAUUUGCUGUUCCACAUCCCACGCAAGUAUAUCCUAAAAACAAAGACCAAACUGCACACAGUGCUACAGGUGUGUUCUCACUAAAGCCUAGUACAUUGAAAUCACAGUUCCUUAUUCAUGUACAGCAAACCCUUUGCAAACAGGUUCAAAAGUCUGUUUCUAACUGAUGCAUGUUUCUAGUUGGUAACCUAUGGUUAGUAAAUAAAACUGAAAAUGUUUAUGAUUUACAUCUAACAUGUUCCACACAAUUAGGAUCAUCACUAUGUGAUCAUCUUGUGAACAUAAGUUACUAUUUCUUAGUGAAAUGCUUGGAAUGGGAAUAACAAUGAUCUCUAAUAUGUAACCGUUCCAUCAGCUUCUGAAAAGAGAAAAGACAGGCUAACAUUUGAGCUUGACACUGUGUGGCAGCUCUGGUGCAGCCUUUCUGUUUUUGCUUCAAACGUUCAGAUUUGCAGUUUAUUUGUUCAGCAUAUACAUAAAUCUUCAUAGAGUUGCCACAAUUUCUAAAUUAGCAAAUUCAUAAGGUAACAAUAUAUAAAAAGAAAUAAAUUUUUAAAAGAAACAUACUGCAGUUCUAAAGAGAGGAAAUGCUGCUUAAUGUGAUAUGAUACAGAUUGAGCCAAAUGAGUGAAGAAUGUACAAGUUUAAUGAAACCUAUAAUAUUAAUAAAAAUAUGUUUGUGGUC